GACGAACGCUGGCGGCGUGCUUAACACAUGCAAGUCGAACGGAAAGGCCCUGCUUUUGUGGGGUGCUCGAGUGGCGAACGGGUGAGUAACACGUGAGUAACCUGCCCUUGACUUUGGGGUAACUUCAGGAAACUGGGGCUAAUACCGGAUAGGAGCUCCUGCUGCAUGGUGGGGGUUGGAAAGUUUCGGCGGUUGGGGAUGGACUCGCGGCUUAUCAGCUUGUUGGUGGGGUAGUGGCUUACCAAGGCUUUGACGGGUAGCCGGCCUGAGAGGGUGACCGGCCACAUUGGGACUGAGAUACGGCCCAGACUCCUACGGGAGGCAGCAGUGGGGAAUAUUGCACAAUGGGCGGAAGCCUGAAGCAGCAACGCCGCGUGCGGGAUGACGGCCUUCGGGUUGUAAACCGCUUUCGCCUGUGACGAAGCGUGAGUGACGGUAAUGGGUAAAGAAGCACCGGCUAACUACGUG
rnacentral:rRNA from 1 species